GAUGAACGCUGGCGGCGUGCCUAAUACAUGCAAGUCGAGCGAACGGACGAGAAGCUUGCUUUUCUGAUGUUAGCGGCGGACGGGUGAGUAACACGUGGAUAACCUACCUAUAAGACUGGGAUAACUUCGGGAAACCGGAGCUAAUACCGGAUAAUAUUUUGAACCGCAUGGUUCAAACGUGAAAGACGGUCUUGCUGUCACUUAUAGAUGGAUCCGCGCUGCAUUAGCUAGUUGGUAAGGUAACGGCUUACCAAGGCAACGAUGCAUAGCCGACCUGUGAGGGUGAUCGGCCACACUGGAACUGAGACACGGUCCAGACUCCUACGGGAGGCAGCAGUAGGGAAUCUUCCGCAAUGGGCGAAAGCCUGACGGAGCAACGCCGCGUGAGUGAUGAAGGUCUUCGGAUCGUAAAACUCUGUUAUUAGGGAAGAACAUAUGUGUAAGUAACUGUGCACAUCUUGACGGUACCUAAUCAGAAAGCCACGGCUAACUACGUG
rnacentral:rRNA from 1 species